rnacentral:rRNA from 1 species
AGCUUGCACAGGUGCUGCAUGGCUGUCGUCAGCUCGUGUCGUGAGAUGUUCGGUUAAGUCCGCUAACGAGCGCAACCCUCGCUGUGUGUUAUAUGUGUCACACGGGGACUGCCGGUCUUAAGCGGAGGAAGGUGGGGAUGAUGUCAAGGUCAGCAUGGCCUUUAUAUCCUGGGCUACACACACGCUACAAUGGCCAACACAAUAGGUUGCUAAGCCGCGAGGUGGCGCCAAUCCAUAAAGUUGGUCUCAGUUCAGAUUGUAGGCUGCAACCCGCCUGCAUGAAGAUGGAGUUGCUAGUAACCGCAGGUCAGCUAUACUGCGGUGAAUACGUUCCCGGGGCUU